AGACCACUAACAAGAAUAAAUCAAAUACAUACAAAUAUAUGAUGUUUCCUAGUAAUUGAAUAGUUGUUAAGAACCAUGGACGCAUGAACUUUUUCAUAUAUUCUCGUUUCUUGAUGCAAACGUCAAAAAGAAUAGCCCGGUAUGGUUUGUGGUGGUUCCGUCAUAUUUGAGCUGCUAAACCGAGCCAAGAGGUGGUGUUGUUGUCUCCGGUUUGAGGCUUUGAAGACGCUUUGGCUGGAUCACUUAGUUGGUAUGGUGCCUUUGACGUUACUCUAUCCUUUCUCUUGGCCAAGAACCGAUGGAGUGAAGCUCUUCUAGCAAUAGGAAGUUCUG
rnacentral:lncRNA from 1 species